UUACCGAGUGCGGGCCCCUCGUGGCCCAACCUCCCACCCUUGUCUCUAUACACCUGUUGCUUUGGCGGGCCCACCGGGGCCACCUGGUCGCCGGGGGACGUUCGUCCCCGGGCCCGCGCCCGCCGAAGCGCUCUGUGAACCCUGAUGAAGAUGGGCUGUCUGAGUACUAUGAAAAUUGUCAAAACUUUCAACAAUGGAUCUCUUGGUUCCGGCAUCGAUGAAGAACGCAGCGAAAUGCGAUAAGUAAUGUGAAUUGCAGAAUUCCGUGAAUCAUCGAAUCUUUGAACGCACAUUGCGCCCCCUGGCAUUCCGGGGGGCAUGCCUGUCCGAGCGUCAUUUCUGCCCUCAAGCACGGCUUGUGUGUUGGGUGCGGUCCCCCCGGGGGCCUGCCCGAAAGGCAGCGGCGACGUCCGUCUGGUCCUCGAGCGUAUGGGGCUUUGUCACUCGCUCGGGAAGGACUGGCGGGGGUUGGUCACCACCACAAAAUUUUACCACGGUUGACCUCGGAUCAGGUAGGAGUUACCCGCUGAACUUAAGCAUAUCAAUAAGCGGAGGAAAAGAAACCAACCGGGAUUGCCUCAGUAACGGCGAGUGAAGCGGCAAGAGCUCAAAUUUGAAAUCUGGCCCCCUCGGGGUCCGAGUUGUAAUUUGCAGAGGAUGCUUCGGGAGCGGUCCCCAUCUAAGUGCCCUGGAACGGGCCGUCAUAGAGGGUGAGAAUCCCGUCUGGGAUGGGCGGCCGCGCCCGUGUGAAGCUCCUUCGACGAGUCGAGUUGUUUGGGAAUGCAGCUCUAAGCGGGUGGUAAAUUUCAUCUAAAGCUAAAUACUGGCCGGAGACCGAUAGCGCACAAGUAGAGUGAUCGAAAGAUGAAAAGCACUUUGAAAAGAGAGUUAAACAGCACGUGAAAUUGUUGAAAGGGAAGCGUUGUCCACCAGACUCGCCCGGGGGGGUUCAGCCGGCACGUGUGCCGGUGUACUCCUCUCCGGGCGGGCCAGCAUCGGUUUGGGCGGCUGGUGAAAGGCCCCGGGAAUGUACCACCCUCCGGGGUGUCUUAUAGCCCGGGGUGCCAUACAGCCAGCCUGGACCGAGGCCCGCGCU
rnacentral:rRNA from 1 species